rnacentral:misc_RNA from 1 species
AAAGUCAGUAACAAGGUUUCCGUAGGUGAACCUGCGGGAAGGAUACAAUUAGGAUGUGCGGCCAGAACUUUUUCCUAUUCAUACACCUGUGCACCGUGGUCUCCGGACCUACAAACAUUGAGUCAUGAACGUAGUCUUAUUGUAACCAGUAAAA